CGAGCUCUUACAGAGACGCAUGCAGCCCACUUUAGCAUACCUCAGCACUGCACUGCGUUGAACUUGGUAGAGACAUCUCCUUCCUUUGUGCGCUUUGUCCUUCUCUUCUGUCUCUUUAAAAACUCCGAAAAUCAAAAAUCAAAACCCACAAAUCAAAAUUCUCUCAGAGAGAAACUUUUCUCAUUCUUUUGAGUUUUAAAUAAUACCCAUUGAAGGAAAAAAUCGUGGAGAUUGCUGGAUGCUCUUCUGGUUUCAGUUCCUCCUCUAAUGAUGUCUGGGCUAAACUUGGUCUUUUCAACUUCUCUUUCUUUCUACAGUUUGUGUUCUUUCUUAUGUUAUGCUCUCUUUGUUUCCUAAGUAAAUGACUAACGAAACUGUUUUUAGUGAAGUUUAGUGUUGAAACUGACAUUUUAUUGGAAGUUAAAUUGAAAUGAAAUGAACCCAGAUGAGGAAAUUUAGCAAAGAAAGAAACUUUCUUGGGUUUGGGUUCUUAAUUUUCGUUGUUUCAUUUUUUGGAAUGCGACCUGUUAAUGUAUGUGUGCAUCCAUGUUUGUGGAGGGAUUGUUACUGUGAGAAAGUACUUUUGUUGAAUGUGAGUGAAUCUAAUUAUAGUGAGAGUGCAUUGGAGUUAGAAAGUUGGAGACUUUUUCAACAUGAAUCAUGAAUGAUGAACGUAAACCCUAUUGGUUAAUUCAAUUUUACUCUUUUGUACUGAACAUUGGCCUUUUCUUGCCUAACCAAGUAUCAAAGACUAUACAGUUCCUAUUCCUAUUUUGAAUUGAGGGCCUGUAGAAGUCUGAAGUGCCGAUACCGGAGCAUAGUAGCUUCAUCGUGCCUCCAAUUUGUGUGACAAUUCUGUUUGGUGCUGUACGUGCUGAGAAUCAUAUGCCCUGUUUACUUAUUUGAUCAUUUGCAAAGUGACCGUGUAAAUCUAAUUAACUGCAGUGUUUGACAGCAAGCUUUUCCUUGCUGGGAUCUUGGAUAUCGAUUUAUUCUUCACUGUUGCAGUACCAUCUGACUCAAGAUAUUCUGAUGUUGAGAUAAGAUCAAAUGAAAUGGUAAUCUGCUCUGAGAUUACAGCUUUUUUUCUCUUGAGAAGCAUGAAUGGAGCAAAAUAACUAGGAAUUCAAAUCGAAGUUCUGCCACGAUCCAAAAUAAGAGAGAUGGGAACAUGGAAUGGCUUCAUUUGGGAAUGGUCCUUAUCAUGGAGGAGGAGACUUUGGGACUAGGAAAAGAUCACAGUAAGGUGUAUUGGACAGAUGGGAAGAACAUUGCAGGAUAUUAUCUCAGGUUGGAUUGGGAAAUUGAACAACAGAGAAAUUGUUUUUUAACUCUUGCUGCAGAUCGAACUAGGAUGCCAUUGAAUCUUGCUGAGAUGAUAACUGUUGGAACACAUGUUUGCAAGUAAGGAUGGAUCCUUUUAUUUUGAAUGUUAAAUUAUUUCAUGAAGUAAUAUACCUCCUUUUCAUGGGGGUUGAAACAGACAUUGAUAUUUUUAGUUUAGGGUGGGUUCAUGCUUGUGUUUUCUAAAUCUUCCAAGGACAAGUGAAAUUCUUGGCGACAAUUCUAUGCUGACAUAAGCUAGAGAGCAGCUAAAACCACUGUCCGACAGGUAAACAGCUGAGUAGUAUAAACAUUUAUGGGAAUUUGUAGUCCUCUUGAAAGUCACAGCUGCUCAGCUACUUUCUGUGGUUGUUACUUUGUUUCGAUUUUAAUCUGUCUGGAAUUUGAUUUUCUAUGGCGUUCUCAUUCAUGACUAUGCAUAGGCUAUGUCUGGCCUGAAGCUUCACAAAUGUCUGCUCUAACUAGCCUUUAGUUACUGUGUAAUAACAAAACCUCUGCUGUCCUACAAGAGGUGGAAUCAGUUACCGCUAAACAUCACUGGUGAUAGAUCAUUUGACGAGCUUUCAAUUUAUUGCAGUUGAUGCUGUUCUUGCUGACUUGCUGUUUUCUUCAAUGAUUGUCAUGGCAAUUUGAUCUCCUUUCUGCUAUACUGGUUUCGGAUUUCAAUGCCUAAAUAUGUACGUACAGUUGGUUUUAAGCAGUAUAGAAGCUUGUCUAAGCAAGUGGUUCGAUUUAUGUUUUUCAAUAUAUGAUUUUUAGAAACUAUACUCGAUUUUUCUAUGAAGAGUGAGGUUCCAUGUAUGAUCUGGAUUUCAUGAGUGCUUUAGCCUUGAAGCAAAUUCUCGAGCAAGCCAUGGCCCAUUUUAUGGUAUGGUCCCUCCAUUCAUGAUGAAGAAAAGAUUGAAAGUGGAAUUGGAUACCC